AAAGCGGAGGAAAAGAAACCAACAGGGAUUGCCUCAGUAGCGGCGAGUGAAGCGGCAAAAGCUCAAAUUUGAAAUCUGGCGUCUUUGGCGUCCGAGUUGUAAUUUGAAGAAGGUAUCUUUGGGCCCGGCUCUUGUCUAUGUUCCUUGGAACAGGACGUCACAGAGGGUGAGAAUCCCGUGCGAUGAGAUGACCCGGGUCUGUGUAAAGUUCCUUCGACGAGUCGAGUUGUUUGGGAAUGCAGCUCUAAGUGGGUGGUAAAUUCCAUCUAAAGCUAAAUAUUGGCGAGAGACCGAUAGCGAACAAGUACAGUGAUGGAAAGAUGAAAAGAACUUUGAAAAGAGAGUGAAAAAGUACGUGAAAUUGUUGAAAGGGAAGGGCUUGAGAUCAGACUUGGUAUUUUGCAUGUUGCUCUCUCGGGGGCGGCCGCUGCGGUUUACCGGGCCAGCAUCGGUUUGGAGCGGCAGGAUAAUGGCGGAGGAAUGUGGCACGGCUUCUGCUGUGUGUUAUAGCCUCUGACGAUACUGCCAGCCUAGACCGAGGACUGCGGUUUUUACCUAGGA
rnacentral:rRNA from 1 species